rnacentral:rRNA from 1 species
GGGAGGCAGCAGUGAGGAAUAAGUCCUGGAGGAAAUGCCAGGGCGAUGACGUAAGCAGAGGGAUAAGCCCCGGCCAAUUACGUGCCAGCAGCCGCGGUAAUACGUAUGGGGCGAGCGUUGUUCGGAAUCAUUGGGCGUAAAGGGCGUGUAGGCGGCUUUGCAAGCUUGGUGUGAAAUAUCACGGCUCAACCGUGAGGGUGCGCUGAGAACUGCAAGGAUCGGAGUUUUGGGGGGGAAGCUGGAAUUCCAGGUGUAGGGGUGAAAUCUGUAGAUAUCUGGAAGAGCACCAAUGGCGAAGGCAAGCUUCUAUCCAAUAACUGACGCUGAGGCGCGAAAGCGUGGGGAGCAAACAGGAUUAGAUACCCCCGUAGUCCG